rnacentral:rRNA from 1 species
GACGUAGGGUCCAAGCGUUGUCCGGAUUUACUGGGCGUAAAGCGCGUGUAGGCGGCCCGGUAAGUCCGCUGUGAAAGUCCAGGGCUCAACCCUGGGAUGCCGGUGGAUACUGUCGGGCUCGAGUCCGGAAGAGGCGAGUGGAAUUCCUGGUGGUAGCGGUGAAAUGCGUAGAGAUCAUGAGGAAGACCAGUGGCGAAGGCGGGUCUCUGGACAGUUCCUGACACUGAGGCACGAAGGCCAGGGAGCAAACGGG